rnacentral:lncRNA from 1 species
GGCGGAGUAGAGAGGGCCCCUCACCGAGAUGCACCACGACUGCAGGUAGAACACCGCACCAGACCCAAACACGCCCUGCACUCACGACGAGUCUGUUUGUUAGCCAACAAGUUCGGUCUCAUCUUCCGAUUGCAUAGUAGUUCCUGAAACGGAGUGGCACUGACCGCGAAGGCGUAGCAGGAGAGCUCGAAGAGCGAGUGGAUCCUCCACGCGCUACGGUCCGGCAGCAGGAAGAAAGCGACCACGGCGGAUUGCAGGGUGGACAGGAAGCAGGUCCAGGCCGACAGGCACAGAGGAUCCAUGUACCGUUGGCAGAUAGGACCCUGGAAACAAAAUUACCAAGCCUUUUCUUGUACAAGUAGUAAAAUUCUGACGGUUGUUUAGUCUAGGCAUAUAAUGGUCGCAUAGGGGAUUCACCUGCAAUAUGAGCCACAAGGACCAGCAGGAGCUGCUGCCGACGAGGAAGAGCGCACCCAUCACCCAGUUGUCGCUGCUAAACUUAUGCAGAAUCAUGGACGGGUCACUGAGAAAUUGCAUCGGCAGCUUUGGACCUUUGAAGAACGCGAUGGUGAUGGCUCCUCCCACGCAGACAGCCGUGCCUAAGAUCUUAGCCGUACUACUUACUUCUCUGAUGUUCACUCUUUCCUGCCUUUUGAUGAAUUUCAUGCAAAGAUUGACAUUAGCACUAACAUUAGCAAUGCUUUUCUCUGGCCUAGAAAAUUACAGUCAGGGAAAAACGUCUCUCAAAAGAAGCAAAUGUCAAUUCCAAACACGCUAGAUGGAAUGGUUAUUUAAUGUUAGAAUUUAUAUGAAUAGCUCCCCUAAAUUCAUACGAAGAAAUCCUAAUAAAUUUCAAAAACCCAAUACAUGUGUUCAUUAAUGGGCUUUAAUGUUUAAACCCAUAAGUAGAGGUGUGAGGUAUAAUAUCUAUUAGUACUAUAUUGCUAACUGAUGUGGAGGCAUAUAUAUUGGAAAUUGCAAUUGCAAAAAUCCUAAGGUAGUAUUUUCGUCUUCUUGCUAUUGUGCUGUCGGCGGCCGUAGUCUCUCUAUCCUGACCGUCUGCAUGUACCGGUGUUCGGGAGAACAGGUUCAGGAUAGGACGAAUAAGAUUUUUGGAAAACGCUCUUCACGCGACUGCUCUCGACUUCUAUGGCGGGUCGUCUACCAUCCAACGGCGUCCCCACCAGCACCUUCAUCACCUGCGAUGAUGUCUCUCUCUAAGGUACACACCUUGUGAACUAAUGUAUCGGUUGAUGUUGUUUAAUCUAACUAGUAGAUGAUCUAUGAUUACACUAGUUCUUGUAUUCAUGUUGUUAAAUUAUGAUAGUAUACGAGCUAUGCUUAUACCAGUUUUCUGAGAUCUUCAUGAUUUAUAUUCUGGUUUUAGUCUAAAAAUUGCUAAUUAUUUAAUCUUUAUGAUGAUACUUUUUUUUAAUAAAAGGAACAACUUCUAUCUAAUCAAUGGUCUGUAAUUAUUAUCUUGUGCUGAAUAAAAAGAAGAAAUAGAUAGAAAAAACACUCCUGAAUCUAGUCAAUUAUUCAGAUGUGCCCAUAAAAGUAGGAUUUAUGUACAUGUGUUCAUUAAAGUGAAUAUGCGUGCAUUAUUAGUGUCUGCAUUAUACUGUAUAAUUCUUAAAAAAAACAGCCGUCCUAAUGAGCGGAGAGGAGUAACAUGAACCCAUGAUGCAUUGCUGUACAAGUUUAAUGAACCAAAAAUGUAUUUUUAGAGCUCGUGGGGAUAUACCCCAUCCAAAGUUCAGUGUUGAUGAUAUAUUUAGCUCUUUUAUUUAGGAAUCUGUGGCAAAUCUGCAAUAGGUGAUAAGCAUUAGUGAAUUUAGCAGAUUAAGAAACAAAAUGUAGUUUUCUAUUAUUAUAAUUGAGUUGUCUGUAAUGGUUGGUCGAAAGUAGAGAUCGAGACCAAACGGCACUGCACACAGUGAUCGCCUGAUCGCAAAAGACAAAGAUAGUAUGCAAUGCAUGUGAGUUGCUAGGUGACACGCCAUCCCAUGUCAUCAUAGAGACUAAUAUAACAAGCAAGCCUUGUGUUCGUUAGUGGCCUCAGAUCAUUGGCUAGUCAUUGUAACUACGAUCCCUCAAAAUAACCUAUCGAGCAACUGUUGUGCAAAAAUACACCUAGAACUACUGACAAAUAGUUCAAACUCUAAUAUCUUCUUAAUGGAACACUUUUCUAGUUACUCACCCAACGGCUACUGCCAUGACGAAGGUGAUCGCCGGUAUGAGGUUCGUCAUGGUCGUGGCCAGCGACGACGUCCCCAGGUGUAACCCUUGGUAGCACAGGUUCUGAUUCGCUGUAGCUCUGUUGCACAAAGAAACUGUCAGAGUUGCCAACUGCCAAGAACAGAGGAAGCAUGAUGUUCGAGCGAGCAAGAUUUUGUUGAGAAGCUAACAAGAAUUUAUAGGUACUCGCACCCAAACAAAGCCGCCAGAAACACCAAAAGGAAAGCUUUCAUUCUCAUUCCCACUCUCAUCUCCUUCAGCCUCGCCCUGAUGAGUUCAGACAUUAAAUAAUCACAGCUACUAAGAUCACACAAGCGGUUGGGGAAGAGAAAGAAGAGCAGCAACACUGGUGGAUCAACUCGUAUCGUACCGAUUGGCGAUGAUGGCUAUCGGGGCAAGGACAAGGGUGGCGACGGCCUGCCUGUAGACGACGAAGACCAUGGGGCUCAUGCCCCGCCCGAACGCUGCCUUGACCCACAGCGUCAUGGCCGCGAAGAUGCACUGCGUCGUCACCAUGGCCACGCACGGCUUGUAGUUGUAGCCCUCCGCACCCGCACGGGUGCCUCCGCCGGCCAUGUUGGGCCAGGCACUGGAGUGUGUCGAUCUGCGCGCGCGCCGGAGCUGAGAACGAGGGACAGAGAAAGGGGAGGAGGAGUUGGAGGAGGAAGAGUUGCAAGACCGUGCUAUGGAACUGUCUUCAUCUGUGGUGGCCAUCACCCAUCAGAGCCAGCCCCAGCCAGGCUUUGUAAACGCCUGGCCUGGGGGUGGAGUGGGGGGGAACAGGGGAAUCAUCGCAUCAGAGUGACUACAUCGUACGGUUGGCAGAUAGCCAUGCACCGCCCACCGCCACCCAAGACGUCUUCUUUGCCGAUUUGGCGACAACCAGGAGAUAUCGAUUUAUUUCAUUAAGAAUUUAAUGCUGUAUAUAAAUAUUAGUGCAUAUCUAUUACUCCCUCAACUUAUAGAGUUAUUCUAAGUCAAACUUUUAAAACUUGGACAAUUAGUGUGGUCGCUCUCUUUUGUUGGGAUCUCCUCCGUAGGAAUCGGGCGGCACCCUGUUGACGAGGGGGGUAGAUUGUGCUGCCCUGUGCUCUUGUCUUCUGCCAGUGCAAGAGGAAAAUAAUCCUCCGAUUGAUCAGCCGCGUUGCGGAGGUCCACACUCGCAGUCACAGGUCCGCUCCUUGCCGGCACACGAAAAGGAGGAAGGUCAGGACGGAGGCGGCGGCGUAGACGCACGGAAAUGUUCUGAUCGGGCAUAGAAGGAAGGGAUCAAGGGGACAGAUGAAUAGUUUGGUGCACGGGCUUGGGUUUGGACUGGCCAGGCCCAAGUGGGACCCAGGAGAAAAUAAUCAAUAAAUUAUUUAAUUAAUUAGCUUGAUUGCUUUGAGAUCAGUGAAAUUUUUAGAAAAAGGAGUAUUGGAGCAGUAGCCAUUUUCAUAAGGUACUCAUUUUAUAUCAUAGAUAUUGAUGCUCUUUUUCUAUAAAGUUAAUCAAAGUUAAAAGAGUUUGACCGGCACGGAUUCUAGAAGUUGAAACUUUCAGAAACAAAGGGAAUAUAUUACUUCGAUCAAAAUUAUAUCUGUAAUUUACAACUAAACUUAAAAGGCCCUAGGACUUCAAAUCAACGCUUGGCGGGAUCCAAAAAAUCGAGACAUUGAUGUUAUAUAGUAUAAAUAUCACCCUCUGUCCUAACUUACAUAUGAUUUUAGCUUUUCUAGAAACUAGCUUUUGAAUAUACGGCAUUGUCUAGAUACAUAAUAAAAGUUGUUAAUAUAAAAAAACCCAAAACAACCGAUAAAUUGGAACAGAGGGAGUACAAUCGUGCUAAAAUCUAUGGAUCAUCUCUUCCACAAACAGUGUUUACAAAGUUACUUGAUGACAACAACACUCGAAGUGUGGCUUCGCACCUCACUGCACACAUAUCAUAAUUCAUUUGGAGGGUGAUUGGUUGGCCGCAUAUGCUUGGCUAGGUUGGUGUAAUGCAAGUUUUGUUUGUUUGUUUGGUUGUACUAUCUUCUAAGCCUAGCUGGCAGGAUGCAAAAGAGGCCUCUCAUCCUACAUUUAGGCGUUUUUGGAUAGCCAGGCUCACUAGAUGCAGGUACUUACUCAGCAAAUGUUUUUAUUAGUGUAAUUAGUAAGUAUCAAGUGAUAUUAAUGUGUUUUUUUUAAAAAAAAUAUAUGUGUAAUUUAGAACUAAACUUAAAAGGCCAUAUGACUUCAAAUCCAAACACGUGAAACGCUUGAUCAGUUGGCACACGGCCACGCAUGGUGGGAUCCAAAAAAUUGAGACAAUAAUGAUGUUAUCUAUCCCUAAUAUUUAAUUGUAAAAAUUUCAGUCUGCCCUUCGAAUUUCUGUCUGCCACCCAUGCCAUUUUUUUUACCGUCUCCGUCUCUGAGCGGAGAACCUGAUGACAAACAAUUUAAUCCGUUGUGCAGAGGCCCUGAUCUGCUGGCCUGGGUGCCGAACUGCAGGCUGCCGCUGGCAUGGCGACAGGAGGCAGCGGAGGAGAACAUGGAGGGAAGCGAGUAGGAGGCCCAACUCACCUGCCGCCAAGGAGCUCGCCCGUUGCGGAGGCCCAGCGUGCUCACCGAGGGUGGAAUCAGCGCAACAGCGGCUAUGAAACCCUAGCCACGUCCGCCGCGCCGCCGCCGCACCGCCAGGCCGGUCCGCCUUGGGUUUUGUUCUUGGGAGAGAGGAGAGGAGCGUCGGGCAUAGAGAGACAACGUCGGGGGAGAUGGAGGGCCACACGUGGGGUAGGCGACGGACGGGCUGAGGCAUGGUUUUUUUUGCAUAUAUUAUAUAUCUAUCCUUCUAUCAUUUAAUAUUUAAUUAUAAAAAUACCAGUUCACCUGCUUUUCUGUCCGCCACCCACGUCAGCCUUUUUUAACUGUCUUCGUCUCGUCGUCGAGCUCCGACCAGUCCCCGGCGCCUCCUGCGCCAUAGUGGUAGCUAGGUUGGUAGUCGUUGUCUAGGAUCUUGGACCAGUCCAAGAUCUUCACUAGCAGCGACCCGUGCACCGUCCGGCGCCAGUUUCGCUGGCGACGCCUUCCGUGCGGCUAGAAACUGGCCUGCCCUGGCCGUCUCAGGAGGCUCGAACGCGCCCUAGAUGUCCGACUCGUCGAAGUGCUUGCCUGUGCCACCGGCGGUAGCUACCGAGCUCGCUGUUGGCACAAUGACGUCGUACGACGCCUGCGAGAAGUGGGUGUGGGUCUCAUCUCACCUAUAUUAGGACUUCCACUCCAUAUUGGUUUAAACGCAAGUUAUUCUAACUCGUAUGAGCACGAGUUAUAUGUGUCCAGAUAAAAGAAACUCUCCAUCGUUCGGUAGUUAGAGGAAGACAGACAAAAAAUGGAUGGACGAAAAAAAAAGCCUAAAUUUUUGCCUCUUCAUUAUUAGGUAGGUAUACAUAUAUAUACAAUUGGAUAAUAAAGAUAUAAAUAUAAAUUUGAUAGUUAUUUUUUUUUCUGUUGCAACGCACGAGUAUUUUUGCUAGUACAGCCGUCCUAACUUACAUAUGGUUUUAGCUUUUAUAGAAACUAACAUGUUCCGAGUUGGUCUAAAUGGGCCUUGUUAUGUCCAUCUGAUUCUACUGGGACAAUGCUUGCGUCUUGGACCUGGCCCGAUGAGGCCUAUUUUUAGGACUGUGAAGCGGCGGCAUGUGCGCCAUGUAGUCUCAGCAGGCCCAGACCCAGUCAGCCCACAAGCUAGAGAGAGUUGGAGACGACGGCGAGCGGACCGGACUGGAGUUGGAGACGACAGGGGCGGCGGGGGUUUGCCGCGUUGAUUAGCAAAAUCUUGCGGAUAAUACACAUCGGCAGCACGUAGAUCAAGUCAAACUCCACCAACCGGCCAUUUUGAAACUGCUAGAGUACUGUACAUGACCAAAAAAAAUGGGACUGCGCGCACUGCGCCAGUAGCAUAACGACGACCCUGAAACACGGCGCACGCACAGAACACUGAGGAGCAAAAAAUCCCCUCUACUUCGCCGUUGGAUCGCCGCCGGCCAGGAGGGGCUCGGCGAUGCCAUUGCCGACGUCGACCAUCGAAUCCGACCGCGCCGACGUCUUCUCCAAGUCGUCGUCCGAGUGCUGCUCUGGCUCCUGGUCCUGCAGCCCCCGCCUCUUGGCGUCGCCCGCUUUGCCCCACAGCACCACGUACAGCCCCGCGAUGACGGCGAUCGCGCCCAGCAAGCUGGAGAUCCAUCGCUCGGUCAGCCACAAAUAAAAGAUCGAUGUCAUCGCUCGGUCAUUCACAUGCAUAUUACGAACCUGCCGACGUGCAGCUCUUCACGGAGGACGGCGGCGGCGAAGACGGUGGUGAUCACGGUGCAGAGCGGGUUGAACAUGGCGGAGUAGAGCGGGCCUCUCACCGAGAUGCUCCACGACUGCAGGUAGAACGUGACGCCUGACCCCAACACCCCCUGCACAUUACAUCGCCAUGGCAUCGAUCACCUCCAAGGUCGUUCCUCCUCUCCGACGGGGCGGCGACGGGCAGAGAGAGGAAGAGGAAGCAUGCAUGGUUGACGACAGUUAC